rnacentral:rRNA from 1 species
AGAGUUUGAUCCUGGCUCAGAUUGAACGCUGGCGGCAUGCCUUACACAUGCAAGUCGAACGGCAGCACGGGUGCUUGCACCUGGUGGCGAGUGGCGAACGGGUGAGUAAUAUANUCGGAACGUACCUUAUCGUGGGGGAUAACGCAGCGAAAGCUGCGCUAAUACCGCAUACGCCCUGAGGGGGAAAGCGGGGGACCGUAAGGCCUCGCGCGAUUAGAGCGGCCGAUAUCUGAUUAGCUUGUUGGUGGGGUAAAAGCCCACCAAGGCGACGAUCAGUAGCUGGUCUGAGAGGACGAUCAGCCACACUGGGACUGAGACACGGCCCAGACUCCUACGGGAGGCAGCAGUGGGGAAUUUUGGACAAUGGGGGCAACCCUGAUCCAGCAAUGCCGCGUGAGUGAAGAAGGCCUUCGGGUUGUAAAGCUCUUUUGUCAGGGAAGAAACAGCAGCUCUAACACAGUCUGCGAAUGACGGUACCUGAAGAAUAAGCACCGGCUAACUACGUGCCAGCAGCCGCGGUAAUACGUAGGGUGCAAGCGUUAAUCGGAAUUACUGGGCGUAAAGCGUGCGCAGGCGGUUAUACAAGACAGGCGUGAAAUCCC